rnacentral:hammerhead_ribozyme from 1 species
AUCCAGCUGACGAGCCACAAAUAGGACGAAACGCGCGUCAAACUGGAU